rnacentral:lncRNA from 1 species
GUCUGUUGGUGUUGUUUAUCCUCCAGGUGUCUGUCUGUCUGUUGGUGUUGUUUAUCCUCCAGGUGUCUGUCUGUUGGUGUAGUUUAUCCUCCAGGUGUCUGUCUGUCUGUUGGUGUUGUUUAUCCUCCAGGUCUCUGUCUGUCUGUUGGUGUUGUUUAUCCUCCAGGUGUCUGUCUGUCUGUUGGUGUUGUUUAUCCUCCAGGUCUCUGUCUGUCUGUUGGUGUUGUUUAUCCUCCAGGUGUCUGUCUGUUGGUGUUGUUUAUCCUCCAGGUGUCUGUCUGUUGGUGUUGUUUAUCCUCCAGGUCUCUGUCUGUUGGUGUUGUUUAUCCUCCAGGUCUCUGUCUGUCUGUUGGUGUUGUUUAUCCUCCAGGUGUCUGUCUGUCUGUUGGUGUUGUUUAUCCUCCAGGUCUCUGUCUGUUGGUGUUGUUUAUCCUCCAGGUCUCUGUCUGUUGGUGUUGUUUAUCCUCCAGGUCUCUGUCUGUCUGUUGGUGUUGUUUAUCCUCCAGGUCUCUGUCUGUCUGUUGGUGUUGUUUAUCCUCCAGGUCUCUGUCUGUCUGUUGGUGUUGUUUAUCCUCCAGGUCUCUGUCUGUCUGUUGGUGUUGUUUAUCCUCCAGGUGUCUGUCUGUUGUUGGUGUU